GCCUCAGCAAUUUAUCCAAGAUAUUUGACAUAGUUAAAGGAAAGAGGGGAGACAGAGGAACAUGAAUAGAAGGGGAGGGGAGAGAGAAGGCAGGUCCUGUUAGCUAAAUAUUUUGGGAGUCUCUUUUGUAGAAGUCACUUUCAAGUUCUUGCCUCCUAGCCAAGAAAACAAAAAAGCAUGUUGUGCCCAGUCAUGUAUAUUAAAUCAGUGUGAGAAUCCCAUGCCAACUUCCUAUUUCUGAGCCAUGGCAUGCGUGGGAUGGGAAGCCAGGAAGUGGCUCCCCUUCCCCCUUUCUAUUCCUGUCUCUGUCAUAGGUGACCUUGGGCAAGACGCCACUUCCCUCAGCACUGUGGUUUGCGUCUUCCUCUCCCAGCGUCUCAGACCAAGGCCUUCAAGGGCACGAAGAGGCAGCUGAGAGAGACAAAGGGGUGGGUGGAGGCAGCAAAGAGCUAGUGGCUCCUCCUCGGGUCAAAAAAACUUAGCCACUCUCCUCCAGAAGCCACUGGGCGGGCAAGAAGCAAGAGUCCAGAGACAGGAAGCCACGCCAAAGAAAGACUUGAGCGGUGGCCUGCCCACCUGCCGUUCAUCUGUCAUUCUGUCCCACGACACAGGCACACCCUGAAACGUGAAAUGGCACUCCAGGCCACAGCCAAUUUAACUGAAAGGUACUGAUAAACUAAUCCAUAGAGAGAAUAUAGGCUGUGGGGGCAGGGAUCUUAAUUAUGCUCCAUGCACCGUGUAAUCUCCACCAAGAAUAAAUGCCCAAAGUCUGCAAAACAGCGGGAAAGUCACAUUCCCUGAUCUGAAUAAAUUAUGCAAAUUAAGCGAGCGGCUUAGUUUUUCCAUACUUUUAGCUAACGUCAGUGAGACAUUUUCAAAUGAUCUGAUUAUCCCCUUUUUGCAAGGAAGACUCGAGGAAGGGAGAGCGGAAAGACAUGGAGAAACUCGGAAGGUGUUCUCGAAAGCAAAGAGGAAUAGAAACAAACCCCAGCUGAAUCAGGGUGCCUUGGGAGUGUUUUGGUGCUUCCCUGAGAGAGGAGGGAUCUGUAUGAGGCCCCCGCAAGCUGAAGUAGGGAACGCUCCCUCCCUCUGAAACCUUGUGGUGCUUUGCUUGCUCAGUCACAACAAACAAACCCUGCUAUUUUUUGCAAAAAGCAAAACCAAGCUUACAGAAUACACCCUUGGUUGAGAGGGAGGAAUCGUCCAAGGUGGCUGACAGGUCUAACUUUUAAUCAGAGGCAAUUACCGUAUUUUUUGCUCUAUAAGACUCACUUUUUCCCUCCUAAAAAGUAAGGGGAAAUGUGUGUGCGUCUUAUGGAGCGAAUGAAGGCUGUGCAGCUAUCCCAAAAGCCAGAACAGCAAGAGGGAUUGCUGCUUUCACUGCGCAGCGAUCCCUCUUGCUGUUCUGGCUUCUGAGAUUCAGAAUAUUUUUUUUCUUGUUUUCCUCCUCCAAAAACUAGGUGCGUCUUGUGGUCUGGUGCGUCUUACAGAGCGAAAAAUGCGGUAUUUUAUCAGGAAUCCCCAGUCACAGUGCUUUUUGCGGAAGGACACUGACUCAAACAAAUGUUUGUCUCACGUGCUCACUGCUCUUUGGCUAGUUCUGCCUCUCCCGAGCUCUCAGGUCUAAUCCAGCAGGGCCCUCCUUAAAUUCCAAUCACUGGGUGAAAGGAGAGUAAAUGAAGGAGUUACUUAUGCAGUAAAACUGACCAAGAUACAGCUCACCAGCUACAUGUACCUGGACCACUUAAACCACACGGAUUCUGGAACUUUCUAUCAGCUGUUAAGUGACAGUUAGAAGCAGGUGGAGUUCUGAAUCUUGGCACAUGGCUAGUGCCACCCCACUGUGAAGCUAUAGAGGAGAGGUGUGAAGCUAUUAACACAUUGAUUGUUCCUUCCAACCUUUCCUCUCUACUAGCUAGAAUAAUGUUCAGCGAGUUCAGAGAAUGGAGGAUUCCAUUUAAUGGUAAAUUCCAUUGCUGAACAAGCUGUUUAGGUGCUUUUAUUUUUAAAUUAUUUUUUGGUGUUACUGUGAUUACAUUGUAUUUCUAUUGCCUUUUAUCCUAGCCUCCCUCCCAGGAACUUAAGUCGAUCAUUGUUCUCCCGUAUUUUAUCCCUACAGCAAACCUGCGAGGUAGUCUGAAUCAAGGCUGCCCAGUGAACUACAGGGCCGAAUGGGAAUUUUGUCUGGGUUUCCUACAGCCGGGCUGGUUCCAGACCACACUCUAACCACUCUACCACAUUGCUCUGAGCUCUAUAAAUGCAUACAUGGGAAGAGAACGAAGGGGAAAUUGAAGAGUAUGUGUAUACGGUGCAUAUCUCAAGGAAACUGUGGUUUCUAAUUAUCCCCCUCCCCUUCCUACAGCCCAGAGUUUUUCUCUUUUGAGUUCUUACAGCAAAGUUAAAAGAACAAAUCCGCCAAACGAUAGGUAGAAGAACAACAAUGCAAUGCACACUUCAGUGUACUUUGGUGUAACUCAGCUAUCUUUCAUGCACUGAGCUUGAAUGAGGCAGGGAGACGAGCAGGCUAAUGGAUCUGAAAGAAGCAUAUAGGGCUGACAUGAACACAUUAGAUAGCUGUUUAAUGAGCCACGUGAGAAGUGACAGAACAAGAUUCUUUCAAGAUUGGUUGUGUAUGGCAGGGAAACCUGUGACCAAAUAUUGUGGGACGACUUCAGCCCCUGCUGAAGGCUAAUGGUAAGGAAUGACAGGAACUGUGUUCCUACAGCACUGAGAAAGCCAUGGGUUCCCCAGCCCUGGUCUGCUGUCCGUGUGCCAUUGUACCUUGAAUAAAAUUUUAAUAAGAUCAGGCUGGUGCUCAGAAGUUAAAUACAAAGCUUUCUGAUACAAACUUGUUAGUGCCUUUGUUGCAGACAACAGCCUAUCAUUCCAUAGUCUAUGUUUGUGCGAAUGAGUGGCUUUAAUUAUUCCUCCCAACUGGGGUAGCUGUGUGUGGUUU